UCCCUCUGCUAUAGAAUAUUUGGGGCCUUUUACUACGUCGUGUUUUUUGGGGCCAUUAACACUGUGUUCACUUUCCCAUUUCAUUUUGCAAGCCCUAACGCUCUCUCCCCUUCCAUCGCCGGUCUCGCCCGAUCUUGUAAUCCAUUUUGUUUUCCAUCACAGCUCUCUCUCCUUCCAUCACCGGUCAUUACAGCUCUCUCCCCUUCCAUCAGUCAGUGUUCCAAAACCCGAAUUUUAAUCAGAGACCAACGCUCUAAAACUGGUGGCUUGGUUUAGAGAGACAAAGUCAUUGCUACUGCACACAUAGAGAGAGAAAGAGUCAUUGUUGGGGGUUUCCAAAACCUUGUCUACACUUUUUUAGGAGUGGUUCAGUUUUUUGAAUAUCUUGCAACGGAGCAUCUUCCUCGCUUUGCCUAUUCUCUGUCUUUAAUCUCUCAGCUUUCUUCAAGCAGACUCUUCCUUCGCAUCUUCAAGAGCACAAGUCAGGUAUGAUCGAGCGAGGGGAGUUGAAAAAGAAAAUAAGGACGCAAAGCUUGAAUACCUGGAAGAAGCAUUCACAACAUCCAAUUGGAUAGUUCAGAUUUACAAAGUCAAACCACUAAAUAAUAGGGGCUGGAUUUCAAUUCAAAACAAGUAUUUGUUUGGGAAAGUAAACAUUCAGAUCAAGUUUGUAGAGGGUGACUCUGCAGGGACUGUCACUGCUUUCUAUAUGUCAUCAGACGGCUCAAAUCACAACGAGUUCGAUUUUGGCUCCCUAUUUUGUUUGUGGCUUCAAUAUUUUCGUUCAAGAAUAUUGCAAUAUCUCAAUUAGUUGAUAGAGCAAUUUAUAGUAGUGAUAAAAUAAUUAUGAUGAUUUCAGCAACUUUUUAUUAAAUGGCGUUUUUGAUCUCUCUCUCUCUCUCCUCUUGUUUGAAUUGGAUUCUUUGUAGGGCUCUGCAAAUCAUCUAAUGCCAAGGACUGACUCUUGAUUACUUCAGGACAACUUCAUUUACAUCCCCAUCUACCUGGACUUUAAUGUGUUUUAAGGACAUAAUGUGUUUUAAGUACUAUUUCUUUGAUUCGUUGCAUGUAUUUUGUUUGUAUUUUGUUCACAAAUAUUAGAAAAAAGAAAGUUUGAAGUUUGAUGAGUUCUUUUGAAGAAACUUGUGGUUGUGUUCUUUAAUUCAUUGCAUGUAUUUUGUUUGUAUUUUGGUUUCCACAGAACAAGGGUUAUGACCAUAAAAGAGAUCCAUGUGCAGUUUUCAAUGUGUUGGAUUCAAUGCUGAAGGGUAGCUUGGAGCGAUUGAAAACAAUGAGACAAAGAGAGAACUGAAAUCAAGGAGCAACUUGAUCCGAGGGCCAGGCACGAAGACUUGGUUCAUGAUAUUCAUCAUUGCUUGGAUGAUUGUAGACUAGAAGGUUUUAAUUCUUAUAAAGGUUGGCUUGAAAUGCCACUUAUAGCCCUUUUAUGUCAAAAUGUGUAUAAUUGAUUCUAUUUAUGUAAUGUGUACUUAAGUACACCUUUUGUAUUGUAUUUUACAUGUAUGAGAUGAGGCCGGAGGCCAAUGACAUGUAUAUUGUAUUCUAUGUAAUUUUUGACUUCAUAAAAUAUUAUGAAAAUAUUGAAAAAUCGUAA